GCGGACGUGGCUCAGUGGUAGAGCAUCACCUUGCCAAGGUGAGGGUCGCGGGUUC
rnacentral:tRNA from 1 species